AGUGGCCCCUGCCCCUGGCUGGGCAGGGGCAGAGGAAGGGGAGAGCUGGGUCCCCCUUUUCAUCCUGGACACUCCGAGGAGAGGCAGCCAGAGCCCCCAGGCCUCAGCGUUCUCUUUUCUUCUGGUCUCCCUUCUCUCACCCAGAACAAAACUGUCAGGCUGGGUUACAGAGGCAGCAGAAACUAAUUCUCAGCCAAUGCGGGGCCUUGGGUGCCAUGCCCAGCCCUUGGUGGAGUGGCUGCACCUCCUACCCAGGCACCGGGCACCUCAUCCACCCAUCCUCGCUGGAAUGUAAGCAUCUUCACCGAACCGCACCCCCCACCUCGCCCUCUCCCUACCUCUGAAGUUGUCCAUUUUAAUUUCUUGGAAAGCGGCUAGCGAGAGGGCCUGGACCCAACCCAAGGGUGCAGAGGGGCCCAAGGGCUCCUGACCUGAUAGGAAGACAUUUGAACACAGCAGAAUGAAGGAACUAAAACCAGAACAACAAACAACCCUCGGAGAAGACAGGCAGCCUGGAAGGCGUGGCAGAGAUGACUCGGACAUAAACUAUGAUUCUAGACCAAAAACAAAGAAAAAAA
rnacentral:lncRNA from 1 species